UGGAAAGGUGUGCUGUUGUCGGUGGGA
rnacentral:piRNA from 1 species